rnacentral:misc_RNA from 1 species
AACGCACGCUUAUUUCGCGCCGCAAGUUUUGCAAUGACGAUGUGGCUAAAGUGUAG